GUCUAUGGCUAUGCCACCUUGAAUACACACUGACUCAUUUGAUCUCAGAAACUAAUCAGGGCCCAGCCAGUUUAGGACCAGGAUGGGAGAAACAGGAAGGUCCUUUCCUACGUUAGGUUCUAUAGUAA
rnacentral:rRNA from 1 species